rnacentral:rRNA from 1 species
UACGUAGGGGGCAAGCGUUGUCCGGAUUUAUUGGGCGUAAAGAGCGCGUAGGCGGCCAGGUAGGUCUGCUGUGAAAACUCGAGGCUUAACCUCGAGAUGUCGGCGGAAACCAUCUGGCUAGAGUCCGGAAGAGGAGAGCGGAAUUCCUGGUGUAGCGGUGAAAUGCGCAGAUAUCGGGAAGAACACCCGUGGCGAAGGCGGCUCUCUGGGACGGUACUGACGCUGAGACGCGAAAGCGUGGGGAGCGAACAGG